rnacentral:lncRNA from 1 species
CUAACCUUAAAAUUUUAUUCUAUCUCUAGGGAAUUUUUUUCGAACUAGCUGAUAAUGCAAUAUAUUUUAUAUGAUGGACAAGGUCGAGGUAAUUGUGUUCUUUAUACUUGUAAGAUAUUUGUUAAGUUUCGAAAAUAAUUAUAUUUAUCUUUUAUUUUCAUGUUGUAUACUUAGAUGUCAACUAAAAAAGCUUGUAAGAGUUCUAAACAUUGAAGUACUGCAAUUGUCGUAGCAAUUCAAGAGACCAAUAAAAGACUAAGAGUUUCUAGUGAAGCAGAAAAUACUAUAUCUACUCCAAUUAUCUAUGAGCAAAACCCAUCGCCGUCAAAUGCAAGUGCUCCGAAGAAGAAAAGAUGCCCAACUCAAGUGAAAAUGGUUCCUGAACAUAAUUUUAAAAAAAUGGAGCUUGAAUUCAAUGAAUUUGGGCAAGUAGUUGGCAGUAACUCCGAUAAAUUUGCUAGCGUUGUUGGAGCUAUGGUACGAGAACAUGUACUUAUUACAAUUAAAGACUGACAUUCAGCAGAUGAAAAGAAAAAAAUGGAACUUUGGACUUUCAUACAGUACGUUUCUUAACUAACUUUUUACGACUAUUUAUUGUAUCAUUUUCCUUCUUAUUGACGCCAUUCUUUUAAGUUUUAAAAUAUAUUUGUGAACAAAUGCAGCAAAUGUUCGAUGUCAAUGAUUGUCAUAAAAAAAAUGACAUUUCAUUGUAUGGGAAAGUAUUGGAAGACAUUCAAAGUAAGAUUGAGAAAACAAAUCAGAACUGAAAUAGAAACAUCUGUUAAUAGAACACGAUCCAUUGCCCACCUUAGACCAAAGAAUGUAAGUCAUGAAGAAGCAUGGGAAAAAUUUCUCAAAGAUACUCUUUCUGCUGACUUCAAAGUAAGAAAUAUUUGCUUAAUAAUGUUAUAUUUUUAUUUAGUUGUUGUUUCUAUUUUUACUAUUUUGUUUUCUUAAUAGGAAAAAAGUUCCACGUUCAGGAAAAAGAGAACGGAUCAAAAGCUUCCUCACACAUUAGGUCGAAAUGGUUAUUCACUUACAACUCUUGAAAUAGUACAAUUACACACCUAUCUUGUCUGGUUAGGAAUGAAGUUUCAUUUCUUCUAAGUUAUAGGUAUUACACACCAUUGUUGAUUUCCUUCAAGUAGUCAUUACGUAAGUACUAAAUUUAUAUUGUAGAGAAAAAAGAAUCCGGAUUUAAAGGGGUUAAGAACUAUAGUAUAGAUGCAUGGCCAUCUUAGAAAGGAUGGUACACCAAUAAAUAAAGCAGUUGCCGCAACUUUGGUACAUGUAUUCUUUCAAUAUAUAUGAUUUAUUAUACAUAUUCAAAGCUAGUAUCUAAUCUGAGUUCCGUAAGUGCAAAAAAGGAUAGAAUAUUGUGUCCAAUCAAUUUCUGAUAGACGAGCAGAAAAUUCCAUCCGCGAUGAUGCUAUUGCUCGAGUUUUUAGUCCUGAACAUCGUGGAAGAGCUAGAGGAUUUGGGUUUGGAGUUGCACCAUCGAAAGUGGAUGGACAAAUUCAAAGUAAUGGGAGAGUGAGAGAACUUGAAGGAAAGGUUGGAGCGCUAGAAGAAAAGGUUGAAGCACUUCUUCAAUUAUCUCAGCAAGUUAUAAACUUUUAUCAUUAUACAUAUACAAUGAUAAUAUAACUUCGUGUAACUCAAUAUGGAGAAUAAAUUUUUAAUUUUUGUAUAAUUUACAGAAUCAAAACAAGAAUGUAGACGACAUGAGUUCACGUGCUUUUACUCAGAUUUUUGUAUCUAAGAAAUUAUUUUGUAUUCACCAUAAACAUAGAAUAUAGCAUACUAAUUUACUUUAAUUUGAUUUUGUAGUCACAACAAGGAAGUGGUAUCCACGGAGGGAUUGCACAUACGAAAAAUGAAAGGUGUCAACUGUUGCAUUGGUACACAUUAGAAGAGGAAGAAAUUGUAGCUAAAGGAAGGAUUGCAUCGAUAGACCCAAGUGCAAAGGUCCAUCACGUACCAAUCGGACGAGAUUGUUGGAAGGUGUGGGUUGAGGAAGUGUAUAUGGGCCAUUUGAACUUAUAUAGACUUAUUGAUGAAUUUCGAGUGCUUAGUGAAGCCAUAGGAAGUACAAUUGCUUGGCCAAAGAGCAGUAUUGGACUUAUUUGACAAGGUAUGUAAUGCAUUUAUGCACUUUUGUAUUUCUGUGUGUAAUAUCUGUGCAUACUAGGAAAAAAUGGUUUGAUAGAUGAAAAUUUCCUAUGUGGUAUUGUUUAUUCAUUAAGAACUGAUCUACUACUGGCAAAAUUCAAGUAUAGCAUCGAUUUUAUAAUCACCUAUCAUAAUCAUGAAGCACAUAUCCUUUUUUUCUUCUAAAUUGAGUAAGCCCUACCUUUGCAUCUCCAUGCAGCAAGAAUAGAUAAUAUGAUCAUGACUGGAAUUUAUAUAUGGUACAGUUGGUUGCUUUUGUAUGUGGAAUAAUUCAUCUCAAGACUCAAUCCUCGUCAAAAAAAAAAAAAAAACUUUAUGAAGGUCCUGGAAUUUUAGCAUGUAAGACAAUUUUACAUUUUCUGUGUUAAUGUCUAUGAAAUUCGAUUAUUUUCCUUCGAAAUGAUUAAAUUUGAUAUAAUUUACAGAAUCUAAUAGAAUAUAUGAUGGUGUUGGUGAAUUGUUUCAGGGAUGAAAGUGGUUGGUGAAUGCUAGCUCCCGGCUUUCUUUUUUGUAGAACUUGGUGAAAGGCAUUUGUAAAGUUUCCAAACUCGACUAAUCAAUUAUCACAUAGCUAAGCUAGAAAUUCAUGACCUUAUUUUGUAACUAGGAUUUAAGUCUUCUACAACUCAUAUCAUAUCCAUAUUUUGUAAUUGUGAGAUGAAUUACAAUAGUUAUCGUUAUGGCAAUGUGUGGGUUUUAUGUUUAUUUUUAUGGAGUAAUGAAAUUAUUAUCAAAU